AAAGUCGUAACAAGGUCUCCGUUGGUGAACCAGCGGAGGGAUCAUUACAGAGUAUUACACUCCCAUAACCCAUUGCGAACAUACCUAUUGUUGCUUCGGCGGUGCUGCCCCCGGAACCCCUCGGGGCAACGGACCAGGCGCCCGCCGGAGGCCCCAAACCUCUGUAUUUACAUCGUGGAAUAUCUGAGUGGCGAAAGCAAAAAUGAAUCAAAACUUUCAACAACGGAUCUCUUGGUUCUG
rnacentral:misc_RNA from 1 species